rnacentral:rRNA from 1 species
GACGAAGGGGGCUAGCGUUGUUCGGAAUUACUGGGCGUAAAGCGCGUGUAGGCGGUUGUUCAAGUCAGGUGUGAAAGCCUUGAGCUCAACUCAAGAAAUGCACUUGAUACUGGAUGACUAGAGGACCGGAGAGGAUAGUGGAAUUCCCAGUGUAGUGGUGAAAUACGUAGAGAUUGGGAAGAACACCAGUGGCGAAGGCGGCCUGCUGGGCAGUAGCUGACACUGAGGCGCGACAGCGUGGGGAGCAAACAGG